AAGCGUGCUUGGGCGAGAG
rnacentral:snRNA from 1 species